rnacentral:rRNA from 1 species
GACGAACGCUGGCGGCGUGCUUAACACAUGCAAGUCGAACGGAAAGGCCCUGCUUUUGUGGGGUGCUCGAGUGGCGAACGGGUGAGUAACACGUGAGUAACCUGCCCUUGACUUUGGGAUAACUUCAGGAAACUGGGGCUAAUACCGGAUAGGAGCUCCUGCUGCAUGGUGGGGGUUGGAAAGUUUCGGCGGUUGGGGAUGGACUCGCGGCUUAUCAGCUUGUUGGUGGGGUAGUGGCUUACCAAGGCUUUGACGGGUAGCCGGCCUGAGAGGGUGACCGGCCACAUUGGGACUGAGAUACGGCCCAGACUCCUACGGGAGGCAGCAGUGGGGAAUAUUGCACAAUGGGCGGAAGCCUGGUGCAGAAACGCCGCGUGCGGGAUGACGGCCUUCGGGUUGUAAACCGCUUUCGCCUGUGACGAAGCGUGAGUGACGGUAAUGGGUAAAGAAGCACCGGCUAACUACGU